UGGACAGAUUAUUGUAUUCGAUUGUAUUCACGGCGUGAAACAGGGGAUUACACUGUUUUUAAACUGAAAGUGAAUCAAUUAACAUAAUAGACUCCU
rfam:Nicotiana attenuata strain TT chromosome 7, whole genome shotgun sequence.